rnacentral:rRNA from 1 species
AAUGAACGCUGGCGGCGUGCUUAACACAUGCAAGUCGGACGAGAAAGGCUAAUUUCGGUUGGCCGAGUAAAGUGGCGCACGGGUGAGUAACGCGUAGGCAACCUACCCUUGUAUUGGGGAUAACCCUGCGAAAGUGGGGCUAAUACCGGAUGAGACCCUAUUCUGGAGGGGAUAGGGUGAAAGUCGGCCGUUCGGAGAAGCUGACGUACGAGGAUGGGCCUGCGUCCUAUCAGCUGGUUGGUGGGGUAGCGGCCUACCAAGGCGACGACGGGUAGCUGGUCUGAGAGGAUGAUCAGCCACACUGGCACUGGAACACGGGCCAGACUCCUACGGGAGGCAGCAGUGAGGAAUUUUGCGCAAUGGCCGCAAGGCUGACGCAGCAACGCCGCGUGGGUGAUGAAGGCCUUCGGGUCGUAAAGCCUGUCAGGUGGGAAGAAGGCCUUAAGGAGAAACGCUUGAGGUUUGACGGUACCACCAGAGGAAGCACCGGCGUAACUCCGUGCCAGCACG